rnacentral:rRNA from 1 species
UACGUAGGGUGCGAGCGUUGUCCGGAAUUAUUGGGCGUAAAGAGCUUGUAGGCGGUCUGUCGCGUCUGCUGUGAAAAUCCGGGGCUCAACCCCGGACUUGCAGUGGGUACGGGCAGACUAGAGUGUGGUAGGGGAGACUGGAAUUCCUGGUGUAGCGGUGAAAUGCGCAGAUAUCGUAAGGAAGACCAGUGGCGAAGGCGGGGUCUCUGGACCAGUUCCUG